rnacentral:lncRNA from 1 species
CACUUCCGCACUAAGCAGGCAAGGCCAACUACACAAGCAAGAAGGCAUCGCCUGCGGCUUCCAAUCCAAUGACAAGCAAAAGACGAAGAAGUAACUUACUAUACCUUACCUCCUUGUGCCCAUAGCUUGACCUCCGCCUUUUUCUACCUGCACGGAUGCCUUCCCUUCCUUGCAAAGCGAACCUAGUCAAGCAAUGGAAGGAGAAAGGAAAAAGACCUUCCUCGCGCACAGACAGACCAUCUUUAGCGAAGUCCCUCCUUCCCAACCUCUCCUACAGCAUCCAUUUCGUCAAAGAAGGACGGAGCAGGCACACUGACUACUCUGAUUGGGCGUGGACUGGGAAAAAGUAGCAGCUAAAGGAAAGCUAAAAGGUAUUGGCGAAGAAGUAAUGGAGGAUCUGAUAUAGAUUGAAAAGAGGGAAAGCUAAGCUAGCUAACGAAGGGGUUGGGAUUCGCCUCGCCCUAGUACACCAACCAGGAAGAAAGAUUUAGUGCUUUUCACCUUUCCGCCAAACCAGAACGAGAGCCAAUCGGGUCGAUCAGAAUGUCCUUAUUUCACAGCGCUAUAACAUUCUCAAGUUAGAGUCUGACUAUCUCUAUUCUAAGUAGCACCCGAGAAAGCACACGCUAAGCAGAUCUUUACCAAAG